AUACGGAGGAUGCAAGCGUUAUCCGGAUUCAUUGGGUUUAAAGGGUGCGCAGGCGGAGAUAUAAGUCAGUGGUGAAAAACUGCCGCUCAACGGUAGUCUUGCCAUUGAUACUGUUUCUCUUGAGUAUGGAUGAGGUAGGCGGAAUGUGCAGUGUAGCGGUGAAAUGCAUAGAUAUUGCACGGAACACCAAUUGCGAAGGCAGCUUACUGGGCCAUUACUGACGCUCAGGCACGAAAGCGUGGGGAUCAAACAGGAUUAGAUACCCUGGUAGUCCACGCAGUAAACGAUGUUCACUCGCUGUUUGCGAUAUACUGUAGGCGGCUUAGUUAAAGCAUUAAGUGAACCACCUGGGGAGUACGAUCGCAAGGUUGAA
rnacentral:rRNA from 1 species